rnacentral:rRNA from 1 species
CAGCCGCCACGGUAAUACGUAGGUGGCAAGCGUUGUCCGGAAUUAUUGGGCGUAAAGGGCUCGCAGGCGGUUUCUUAAGUCUGAUGUGAAAGCCCCCGGCUCAACCGGGGAGGGUCAUUGGAAACUGGGAAACUUGAGUGCAGAAGAGGAGAGUGGAAUUCCACGUGUAGCGGUGAAAUGCGUAGAGAUGUGGAGGAACACCAGUGGCGAAGGCGACUCUCUGGUCUGUAACUGACGCUGAGGAGCGAAAGCGUGGGGAGCGAACAGGAUUAGAUACCCGAGUAGUCCCUGUCUCUUAUAU